GCGGCAAAAGCUCAAAUUUGAAAUCUGGCACUUUCAGUGUCCGAGUUGUAAUUUGAAGAAGGUAUCUUUGGGUCUGGCUCUUGUCUAUGUUUCUUGGAACAGAACGUCACAGAGGGUGAGAAUCCCGUGCGAUGAGAUGACCCAGACCUAUGUAAAGUUCCUUCGAAGAGUCGAGUUGUUUGGGAAUGCAGCUCUAAGUGGGUGGUAAAUUCCAUCUAAAGCUAAAUAUUGGCGAGAGACCGAUAGCGAACAAGUACAGUGAUGGAAAGAUGAAAAGAACUUUGAAAAGAGAGUGAAAAAGUACGUGAAAUUGUUGAAAGGGAAGGGCUUGAGAUCAGACUUGGUAUUUUGUAUGUUACUCUUUCGGGGGUGGCCUCUACAGUUUACCGGGCCAGCAUCAGUUUGGGCGGUAGGAGAAUUGCAAAGAAAUGUGGCACUGCUUCGGUAGUGUGUUAUAGUCUUUGUCGAUACUGCCAGCCUAGACUGAGGACUGCGGCUUCGGCCUAGGAUGUUGGCAUAAUGAUCUUAAGUCGCCCGUCUUGAAACACGGACCAAGGAGUCUAACGUCUAUGCAAGUGUUUGGGUGUAAAACCCGUACGCGUAAUGAAAGUGAACGUAGGUAGGACCUCCUUUAGGAGUGCACUAUCGACCGAUCCUGAUGUCUUCGGAUGGAUUUGAGUAAGAGCAUAGCUGUUGGGACCCGAAAGAUGGUGAACUAUGCCUGAAUAGGGUGAAGCCAGAGGAAACUCUGGUGGAGGCUCGUAGCGGUUCUGACGUGCAAAU
rnacentral:rRNA from 1 species